GGCGCUGGCAAACUGAUCACUUGUCUGGCCAUGGCAGGACAUCGGAUCACCAGCCACAUCAAAGGCAACAGGAGCCAAUUCAGCAGCAGGGAAAAAGUCAUCCAUGCAAAAUGGGCAAUUAGCAUUAAUCAUAGAUGAAGCUGUUGGAGCCCAUGAGGAGAACCUGGCGCCCAUGGCAACGCUCAGGGCAGUGCCCACGCCAGCACCAGGGACAGGCCCAGCUCACCUGCCAGGGACACAAAAUACAAUCUCCCUGAUGCCUCAGUCUUGGCAAAGACCCUUCAAAGGUAGAAAACAGAAAUUCAUCUUUUAAAGAAUAAUAAAUGAAAGAACACAGAAGCAGUCCUUUGCACCUAUAUUGGUGUUGAAAGGAGGAAUUGUUCCCAGCAGUCCGAAGGAACCUCUAUGAUAAGCUACACCAAGGAACCUUCUCACCAGAGUCACAGAUCAUUUCCCACUGAGAAACACCACGUCAUUUUACAAAUGUCUCUCAUAUACCAUUAGGAAAAACUGGAAGAAGCCAACUACAGAAAAAGCAGCUCAAACUACUGAAAAGCAGCACGAGUUAUUCCCAAAUUCAGCGAUUUCCUGAACUCAAGUAUGAUCUGGAGUAGAUAGAACAGCCAAGCACACAAGUUGUACCUGCUGCUGAUGUCUCUACAAGACUUCCCUUCAGACUCUCCCCAAAAUUCCUUCCAGCACCAUCCACCUCUGGGCAAACCCAGCCCUGCCAGGGACUGCCACGGAAUCCCACUCACAUCACUCACACAACUCCUGCUCCUCACUCAAGAGCUUGUUUUAAAAACUGCUGAAAAAGACUGCAAGAAUUGAAGUAAAAGAGUGUUUGUAACCAGAUUUCCUGGAGAUAAAUGAAAGACAUACGUUUCCAUGGCGGCCAGCCUGCUAAAUUUUGCAAGCAUAAAUAUUUACCUAGGACUGAGGGGUGGGGAAAUCAGGAAGAAAACCACCAUAUAGACCCUUCAAAGUUUAAAUACUGGAACACAGAGGUCAUUAUUUAUAACUGGAAAUGGAGAACAUGUCUUUUCUAUGUAUAUUUCUAUGAUGUUAUUCAUCUCCAUAUGCAUUCUAUUAUUACCAUUCUUACACCAGAAAAUACUUUCUAUGGCACUUGCUCGCUGUAUGCAUUCAUUUUCUUUAGGCUUUCUUGUGGCUAUUGAUUUCCUGCUUUGUUGAAAUGCUUUGUUUCUUUCGCAGCAGGCUAUCCAUUUUAAAACAGUUGUUCAACAAAUAAAAAAAUUAAGUUCUAAAAUUAAAUGAGUUUCAUCUUCCUUCAUUUUUAUCUGAGUUAAAUGCAAGUGACACACUUCCCCUAAAAAAAAAAAAAAAAGGAAAUACUUAAUGGCUCCCAGCAGUCAAACAAGUAAAUAAGUAAAAUUUUUGUUUUCUAAUAAGACAUAUUUUUUUUUUAUGAUUGGUAAGAUGAAAGAAAAAGUAUUAUAAAUAAAGCCUCUUUUGUACUCUUAUGUUGUAAUCACUGCUGUGGCCAGUGGUUUAACAUCAACAAAAGAGGAUUAUCCGGUCCAGAGCCAAAUUCAUUUAAGUCCUAUCUUGCUACCAUGAAAGUUGCUAAAAUAAUCCUUUUUUCCUUUCAAUGCAAGUGGCUCAUGCUCUAACAAGACAAAGUUUGCUGUCCUCUCCCACCAGACCAGUCCAAGAGAUUCAGAUUUUAUACAACAAGGAAACAACUACACCUGAAACAACUGCAAAACUAAGGGAAGCAGAGUUUUUGCAGAAGGUGACACUUGUGACCUGAAGCAUCUUGUUUGGAUGUUGUUUGUUAAACAAGGGCAAAUUCCAGAGUUCUGUGCUUCUCUGCUUCCAAUGUCCUUAUCAACUCAUUUGAGUGAACUGCAGGGGAAAAAAAUGUAGGGAGGCAGAUGGACACUCUCUGUGGUAUUAUAUUAUCUUACCUUAAUUUCAUAUCAUAUCAUGCAUUAAGGCAGAAUUUUUGUCAUAUUUCUUGCUAAAAGCAUAUUAUCAAGUGCCAAUUAUUAGGGUACCAGAAGCCCCUCUAUAUUUUCUUUCUCCAUGUGCUGUAACAGACCCUCAUUGAAUGGCAGGAAUUUGCUGUUCAUCAUCUUUCUCACCACCAUGUCUUCAAUGAAAAACUUUGCCUAGUACUGCUCAGGUAUGGGAAUUAUUUCCAAAAGCAAUGGGCUUCAUGUUCUUGAUCCAGGUAUUGAAGUAAAAAUUCUAAAACACCUCCCAUAUUGAAUGUAUUUUUCUGUUUAGGGAGGGACAUUUUAGUGAAGGAAAAUGUAUCCAAUCAGCAGAUCCAGGAUUCUUUGAUGCAUUUAAAUCAGGUAGAGAUGUGGGAGCUCAUAUUUCAUGGCCAAAUUAGCAGAAGGAAAAGUACCAGGACAGCCGAAAAUCCUGGUGCACCUUUAGGAGGGGGCAGGCAUCAUCUCAAAUUGAUUUUGUGACAAAGCAAAACCACUCAAAACCUUCUUUUUAGGCUAAAGCUGUGUGAGGAGGGAAGAAAAACAAUGAUUAACACCUGAAAAGUGUAAAGCAAUCAC